rnacentral:rRNA from 1 species
AGAGUUUGAUCAUGGCUCAGAAUCAACGCUGGCGGCGUGCCUAACACAUGCAAGUCGAACGCGAGGAUCCCGCAAGGGAUUAGUAGAGUGGCAAACGGGUGAGUAACACGUGGGUGACCUGCCUUCGAGCGGGGGAUAACAUCCCGAAAGGGAUGCUAAUACCGCAUGACAUCCUGCUUUUGAAUAAGUGGAGAUCAAAGCCGGGGAUCGCAAGACCUGGCACUCGAAGAGGGGCCCGCGCCCGAUUAGCUAGUUGGUGAGGUAACGGCUCACCAAGGCUUCGAUCGGUAGCCGGCCUGAGAGGGCGGACGGCCACACUGGGACUGAGACACGGCCCAGACUCCUACGGGAGGCAGCAGUGGGGAAUUGUUCACAAUGGGCGCAAGCCUGAUGACGCAACGCCGCGUGGAGGAUGAAGAUCUUCGGGUCGUAAACUCCUUUCGAUCGAGACGAACGACUUCCGGGCUAAUCACCGGGAGAGUGACGGUACCGAGAGAAGAAGCCCCGGCUAACUCCGUGCCAGCAGCCGCGGUAAUACGGGGGGGGCAAGCGUUGUUCGGAAUUACUGGGCGUAAAGGGCUCGUAGGCGGCCAACUAAGUCAGACGUGAAAUCCCCCGGCUUAACCAGGGAACUGCGUCUGAUACUGGAUGGCUUGAGUUUGGGAGAGGGAUGCGGAAUUCCAGGUGUAGCGGUGAAAUGCGUAGAUAUCUGGAGGAACACCGGUGGCGAAGGCGACAUCCUGGACCAAUACUGACGCUGAGUGAGCGAAAGCCAGGGGAGCAAACGGGAUUAGAUACCCUAGUAGUCC